UACAAUGAACAGGUCUAAGUUGAGUAUGCCUCAUCGUACGGGUAGCAAACCUAUUAGAGAGAUAAUGUAUGAGUUGGGAGGCAAGCAUGGUAAUCCACCGGACAUGGCGACUAUCUUCUUUGAGACUCGUAAGAAGGACAACAAGCUUCUCGAACCUGAAACCAAUCAAAAAUACG